GACGAACGCUGGCGGCGUGCUUAACACAUGCAAGUCGAACGGAAAGGCCCUGCUUUUGUGGGGUGCUCGAGUGGCGAACGGGUGAGUAACACGUGAGUAACCUGCCCUUGACUUUGGGAUAACUUCAGGAAACUGGGGCUAAUACCGGAUAGGAGCUCCUGCUGCAUGGUGGGGGUUGGAAAGUUUCGGCGGUUGGGGAUGGACUCGCGGCUUAUCAGCUUGUUGGUGGGGUAGUGGCUUACCAAGGCUUUGACGGGUAGCCGGCCUGAGAGGGUGACCGGCCACAGUGGGACUGAGAUACGGCCCAGACUCCUACGGGAGGCAGCAGUGGGGAAUAUUGCACAAUGGGCGGAAGCCUGAUGCAGCAACGCCGCGUGCGGGAUGACGGCCUUCGGGUUGUAAACCGCUUUCGCCUGCGACGAAGCGUGAGUGACGGUAAUGGGUAAAGAAGCACCGGCUAACUACGUGC
rnacentral:rRNA from 1 species